rnacentral:misc_RNA from 1 species
UCAACCCUCAAGACUACUUUGCGGUGGUUUUGGUGUUGGACGGUUUGGUUGAGCGCUCGCUUAAACCCCUCCUAAAGACAAUGACGGCGGACUUGUGGAACCCCCGGUACACUGAGCUUCUUAACUGAGCAUGUAUCGGAUUAAGGGUGCGCGAGCCCCGGUCUACUCCCUUGAAUGGGAAAAUCUUUCUCAA